rnacentral:lncRNA from 1 species
GCUCUAAUUUCACUUUGAAUGAAUGAGGUUUGCACCUCCCUAUUAAGCCUAUCUUGAUUCAAGCUCUCUUUAAUAUUCCCAAUUUGUUGCAUUAGUGUCCUAAAAAUAUAUUGCUUCUCAGACUCACUCAUCCUAGACAUCCUUUAAAGUAAAAUUACUUUUAAAAUCAAAGUACAAGACUUCAAAAGAAACAAACAAAGAAAACGGACUCUAAAACCCCAAAAAACGUACGGACUCUAAUGUGACAAAGGUCACACCUACACGUGAAAAUCAAACACAUGCAUACUCUUAUGUCUAGCUAUGCUACAAUUAAAGCAAUUAAAGUUGCCAAGAUCUGGAAAGAGCACCAAGGACUCUUCCAAAUACUUGGACUUUAUAAAAGACCCUUUACAAACCAAAAAAUAAAACUAACAAAGACAUUGGGCUGACACAAGCCCAUCAAAUACACAGAAAAAAUAAAAUUUACAAAACAUUCAAUCCUAAACUACGGCCCAAUGUGGUCAACGUCCUAGUCCUGGUUCAGCUACGGUUCACUUCUGAUGAGAAGUCAUUUUCUAGCUUCUUUCUCGGUCGUGUACAAAUUUUCCAUGUGAAAUGUCUCUUCUACUGCCUGUUCGAACUAAAUUCCAGCAACCCAAUUCUGCACACAAUUCACAACAUAAAUCAGCCAUCCACCCAUCUUAACAAUUGCAAGCCACAUGGACAGUUUAAACAAAUCAAAUGAUUAAUCAAAAAGAAACUCCCUUUUAGUCAGUAUGCAGCUGCUAGCCUUCUCCAACGAGACUAAUUCCUACUUCAUCAGUUCUUUCGCUGUUCAGUGUUAGAUGAUGCUGGGAAAAGUUGCUACUGCUCCUCACUAAUGGUUCCAAGGAUCUCUAAUCAAAUGAUCUUCUAGUUGCUAGUGCUUUGAACAAAAUCAGAAACCUCCUUGCAUUUUACACUACUCUGCAUCAACAUAUAUAUCAAUACAUCUCAACCUUGAUUCGUGGCAGCCAAAAGAAAUCAGAUUAGAUUCUAAUUCAAACUCUCUCUGUCUGAUGUUUCUAAUAUUUCCGCUUAAAUUUCUGGACUCCAAAUAUUUGGCAGCUCUGCACACAAAAAUUUCACACCCAAUUCCAGCAAGGUACAAAUGGUAAAGGACUAUUUAGACCAGAUUCAGAUAUAUAUAAUUCAAUCCUGACAGCAANGGAUCAAGCAUCAAUCCCAAUUUAAACAAAAGUCGAUCAAUUCAAUGAAUGAUAAUAACGGGAUACCAUGCAGACCAUAAUCAUCUAACUCAUUCAAUCAUGUAAUCAUAACUGGAAAUGCAAUGCUUGGUUCACUUUAUAAAACUGACAGANGUAUAGCAGUUAAAACAAUGUUGAUGCACAACCCUAUUUGUUUCAACUAAAUCUCCAAACAGUUCAGCUAUACAUGCACAAAAUUCACACCAAAGUUAAUACACAACCAGCAAUAUUAUCAUAAAACCCACAACAAACUAAGAUUCUUCCUGCAAUUAAUCCAGCUCAGAUCUGCUCACAAAAUUUACAUCAAUUUCAGUAAAAUACACGAGAACAUGGAUAUUAAACCAGAUGCCAUGGAUAUGAUUCAAAGCUGAAUGCAAUCUGUUUAAACACACUCCAACUAAUUGAAACCUGAACAAUCCAAUCUGGACAAGAGUGAUGUGAUGCAAUUUAGAAGUUGACGGUGAAAGUAUAGAUGCAGAAAUAAUGAAGUUCAGCAAUAACUCAGAUUCGACAUUUGCAAGUGAAAAUGAUAUGGAAUUCACAAUCAGGCUUAGCAAAAAUGAAUUGAUGCAGAAUUUUAAAAGAUAAAAUGCAGUAAUCAGAAUUAUGGUCCCAGCUUAAACAAAGCCACUUUGCUGCAUCAUGCUCAACUUAAUAUGUCAUCCUGCACAAUGAACAAUCCAAAAAUAGUGAGCAACAUAGUUAAAAGAAAACUGAUUCUCUCACAAAUUGCCAAGGACAACAGGUUAAAGUCAGCCUUACAAGACUCACAACACUCAAGGCUUCUCUUAAAAAAAAUUAAAUUAAACACACAGAUGAAAGGUUUGGAAGGGAGAUUCUCCCUUCGCAGUAAAAGCUAGAUAGUCUUUUAGACCACCACCACCUAAGAUGCUACCAAGCACACAACCUUUCUCAAAUUUCCAAAUAACACCAAAAGUGAAAGCUUCUCAAACCAGAGAUGGAUAGGCUAAGCAAAAGCAAUAACAGGUAAACAGAACAGGACAAAACAAAGCAAUGGAAAUGGUCAACACAGAUCAGACUCUACUUAGAGCUCUAAACCAGAUUUCAAAAGCAAAGGAAAGCUUCAAUUAUAAUCAGCAGAACAGAAUGCACGUGAUGGACAAAACCAGAGUUAUCAAUCAAGACAAACAAGAAGCAAAAGCUUUCAAUAAAGGAGGCACUCAAACAGAUCCUAUGAUUGGCACUAGAUCAGAUUUUAAACCGCAAGAAAAGACUUAGANAUCAGAAUUAAGCACAAUUAAGCUAUGCACUGAACUUGGAUCAAACCGUUUGAUAAAAUGUCUCAAUGAAUCUGCAAAAUGUUGACANCAACAAGCAAAUGUGCAGGACAGAUUUCAAAAUUGAGAUGCACUGGUCCAGUUAUGCCUUUUAAUGUUUAACAACUUCUUUUGAAUGUUUCUUUUUCUAUUUUAUGGACCAANGCUUUUGCUACAUCCACUCUUUUUGAUUCAAACAAAAUUAUGCAAUGCAGAUUGACAAUUCAGUGCAGAACUUCUCGGACACAACAGUUUGAAAGCACAAAUUGGCUAGUACCAAAUACCAAAUGUACAGAACUGACUAGUUACUUAAUGCAAUGAUUCAAACAUGUGCCAAUAGUGAUUCUAUACUGUUUGAAUCGAAUUUCAUGGUCAAAAACAGCAUAUACCAGAAAAUGACUAGUGCAAUUCCAUUUUCAACUCAAUUUCUCAACUCAAAUGGUCAAAAUACACAAUGGCUUGAAUUCUGAACUGGAAACCACUCAAAGGACUUAGAAACAGUAUUUGAAAUUUGCUUAAAACAGCAGAAACACUUUGAAAGAUGAAUGACAAUGAUCUACUACCACUCUUACUCAAUUAUGCAGAAAUGUUUAUCAAAGAUGAUGUGCAGAUCGGCUUACUACAUUUUGACAUGGAAAAGCACUGGAAAUCAACACACAUUCACGUUCCAAUUGAUUCAAACUUUGACUCAGAAAUUGUGGCUCAAUAAAACAGUAACAGAAUUGUUACCAAAUGAACAGUGAAGCUGCAACAACAAUUUUGUCAAAACAGCAAUGUAGAUCCAGUACAGAUCUGAAAUGGAUGGCAAUUCCAAACACCUGAGCUCAACUCUUGGUAGUUCACUGCUCUUAAUCGGUGUAGCCAAUCCUAAAACACUUUAGUUAUACAAAAACGUGGUUGAAAACCGGAUUUAAUGACAAAAACAGCAAAUGUUUAGACAAGACCAAGACAAAACUGUAAAUGAUGCUUAAAUCAUGAAAAUGACUCAAAAUCAGCAAAGAAUAGCCGAAUAAAAUGAUGAAAACUCAAUCAAUCACAGCUAGUAUCAAGAACAAACGACUCAAACAGAACCUACUAAAACCAGAAAAUGAAUCAAAGUAUGACAAAAUUAAAACAACUCAUCAGCACCGAGAGAACAGCACAAGACAUUCAAGGAAAUGUAAAGACAACGCGUAAGCUUAAACAAAAACUCAGAAUCAAGAUCAACACAAAACUAAAAUGUGAGACAAAGACGCGAUUCAAAAUGAAAACAAAACAAACAGAGAUGCGCAACCAACACAAGACAGCUUCGAAACAAAAUCAAACCGAGACAGAGAAAAACCAAAAACAGAGAUCGAGAUACUUAGCUUUGAAGCGUGCCUAACCCGAGGAAGAGAACCUUCAUUUCCCAAUCAAAAUAAGCCUCAACAUUGUCCUUCCCAUGGAAGUGAGGCAACAAAACAUGGACUUCUUUAAGGGGUGGGGGUGCAUGAGAAUUUCGCCUAUGCCUCCUAGAAGUAGAAGGCUGAUGAGUGUAAUAAUCACCCAUACUCAAAGGUAUCCCUCCCUAUUGAGAAUUUUCACUUUCACUUCCCCUAGGCUUAUUUUCCCUUAUCACUCAUCUUGAAUGACAGCAUUUUGAAGCUCUCUAUUGAUUCUUUCUUGAUGCAUUUCCUUCCUCAUUUCAGUAAAUUGAUUGACUAAAGUUUGAAGAUUAAAACUUCCUUUUUGAUUUUCACUAUCACUAAUCCUAGGAGAAUGCCUUNUAGACAUUAUGGUGGACUUAAAUAUUAUUCUUGAAAUAAAGACUAGAGAUUUUCACUUGAAAGCAAUAUUCCAAGUAAGGGAGGUGAAUCACUAGGAUUGCUUAAGUACCAAGCCUUAUCCUUGCCAAAUAUGCUUCUAGCUACUUACUAGAGUCCUUAGAUCAAAAUCACUCUUAAAUCCACUUAAGUCUUAAAGACAACAAAGAAAACACAAAGCAAAGAAAGGACACAACCUAAACUCUAAAUUCGGACCCCUAAGAGAGCUUCCUAUUCGCACAAGAUAUUUGUUAUCUAGUCGAGAAUUGGAAAAGCAAUUAAAGUGAGGUCUCCUAGGUGAGGCUUAGACUUUGGAUCUAAGACACACUCACCAACUACUCAAUUCUAGGUUGUGGGACUUCUUUGAGUCUAGUUACAAAUGAGGGAAGAGCACUUGUGAACUCUAGCACCUCACUUGCUUGGAUUUGGAACUUACAACCAAAGAAACCAAUGAAAAUUACAAAAGAAAUUUUGUGAAUUGGAAAAGGAAAUUAAACUAGACUAAGAAAUUGAUGUGUGAAGCUUUGGUUGCUCUCAAAGAACUUGAAUUUGCAGUAUUCAACCACAAAAUUCUCAGCUGCAAUGUAAGUAAUCAAGGUUGGAUGACAUUCUGCAGAAGCAGGCCUGUUGCUGUUGCUGCAGAAUGGUGCAAUGCUAUCAGCCAAUUUGAGACGUUUCUGCCUUGCCCGAGAGUCCACUUUGUGCCUUGUUUUCUCAAGCCAUAAACUUCCUUUGAUGCUUCCUUGAGUGUAGAGUAGUCUGAGCUAUACCACACUUAUUCAAUCAAUAUGAAUCAGUGCUACAAAUCACCCUACCACUGCCACAGAUUCAUACCCAAAACCAGUUCAGAACAACCCUUUUAUCAAACAGGUUGUGUGCAGGAGUUCAAUAACAAUGAAAAACAAGAAAUUAAGCAGUAGCAAACAAGGUAGCACUUCAAAAGGAUCUUAGGAAUAGUUCUAAAGUGGAUUAAAAAAACAAGAAACAAGUGCAAGUUGCAGAAUCGAGCAAUUUCAACUCAGAUUAAAAUUGACCAAAAGUGUUUGAUGAAAUGCCUGAAUGAACUGUUGAAAAAUUGCUGCACCAGAGUGCGUUUUCGUGACUGUUUGGUACUGGUUCAAUAGCUUUUUACUGUGCAAAUGGUAUAUUUUGUAUACUUUGAAUCAUGCACUAUUUUUAACUUCAAAUGAACCAAGCUUUUGCUACCAAUGUGAACUUAAAUUCAAUGCAACAGUUCAUCACAGAGUCAUAAACAAGUUCUGCAACUAUACCAGAAAAUUUUCUAAAAACUUGAUGGUUUGAAUGGUCAAACUGCACAGCAGUGUUUAGACAGUUAAUUUCAAGUUUAGAGCAACUUUAUUUUAGCAAUUGUGACUUAUAUCAGCUGCCAAAAGAAACUGAAUGACCUUAAAACAGAAUAUAGCUAUUCCAGUUGCAAAUUAACACUAAAUUUGACCAAAAUGAUCAGCCAAAUUUCAGCAGACUUGACAAAGGUGUUUGAAUAAUCAUUUUAGCACUGGAAGCAAAUUUGUUUAACCCAAAUAGACGUGUCUAAGCUGGCAGCAGAGGUUGGAAACUUGUAACUCAAAAUUUCACCAUGUGAGUUGCUCUUAUCAUCAAAAUUUUAACCAUUCACCAUGCCAAUUUCAGAAACAAGAUUCAAAAUGAACUGCAAAGAUGUUUAACAGUUCUGGACAGCUUACUCAAAAUUGAAGAAAGACUCUAGAAAAUACUUGAAGAUGUUCAGCAAAGAUUAAUGUGCCAAACCAGAUUUAAAAACCACAAAAACAGAGAAAAAAUCCCAACUAUGAUGUUGUAGUUCGGACUACUGCAGUACGUGUUUUAUGGCAGUGUAUACUGAUGCUACCUUCAAUUGAAUUAUGCCAGUUAUUGUUCAUAUGGUAAUACAACAUCACCAUCACAGAACAACACUUCCUUGCUCAGCAGAAAAACAAAAAUCACUCAACCAUAAAAAAAUCUCAACAGAUUCACGUUUGCUUCAGUGAUCAAUGCACUACAAUGCAACUUUGAAUCAUAGAAGCUCUUUAAAUCAUUGCUCCUUUGUGAUUCUUUUGAAGAAAACUCAAUCAAAGAAAUAGCAAGGUUGUGCCAAACCAAAUUCUUACUCAGAUUUUGACAAUCAGCAAAUCAACACAUGACUAAACAUGACAUAUUAAGAUCUGAAAGUAAAGACUCAAUAGCACAGAUUUGUCCGAUUAAAAUGAGCAAAAUAAAGCAAAGAAAGCUAGUUUCAAAGAAAUCUCAAACGCAAAACUGGAAACUGGAAAAGAAUUCAAUGGAACAGUAAAACUCAGAUGCAAAGACAGAGAAUGACGUGAUGACAAUAUAAGAAAGAAACAGCAACACUUAUCUCACUGCAGGAUCGUGAUGGAGCUCUGAAUACCACUUGAUAUGUCCACUCUAGGUAUACUUCUUCAGAUCCAUGAGGAGUGAUGCUUGGAGACGGUAGAAUGCAACCAGAAUCAGAUGAGUUAGCCUCGGUAGAAGCUGUUCUAGAGAGGAUUCCGAGACUGGCAGCAGAGAAGUAGUUGCAAUGGAGGUGUUUGGUGUUAUGGCAGCGGAAGAGAGUGAUUUACGAUGGCUAAAUGAAGUGGAGGAAGCUUUGUAUGGUAUGGCUACAACUCAGACGACCCUCACACAUGGAAGGAAGUUGUAGGGGAGGAAACAAAGCAUGGAGUGACUCUUGGAAAGGAGAAAUUGGCAAUGCAUUUGAGCAGAGAUUUCUUACUAUCAUCCAAAAGUAUUGAUACAAGCUAUGCCAAGAGGUUUUAUAGAUGAACCUCUCGGCCUCAUCAAAGGAAAUACUCAUAUCCAACUAAUUCAAUAUGUGUUAAAGAUGCUUGGUUUCUAGAAAGCCUUAUGAAACACGUGACAAAUGAGUUUUUACAUGUGGAGGAAAAUCCUUUUACUAAUGCCGCCCCAUGAAAGGAUAAGCACACCCCUCUUUGUGUAGAAAUGUCCACUUUACCUUUCUCCAUGUUUUGGCACAUUUGUAUCAUCUCCUUGGUCUCCAAGCUUCCAUCCAAAAAUAACAAAGAGUACUUGACCUUGUGAAGAAUACUCAUCUUGAAGUUUUUUGGCCAUCCCUCUUGUGAUAGGUCCUAUGGUGCUAGACCUUCUUGUAUCACUAAGGUACGACAACUUUGGAAUGGAUGAUAAAGGGUCAGUUUCUACCAAGUUUACAAUUUUGUUGUUAGUGAGAAUUAGUGUGUGUAAUCUAAUUCACCUCUUCUCUCCUAGUGCCCUGGAAGCCUUAGAUUUGUUGAGUAAUAUAUUGUCUCUCUCACUGUCAGAGUUCCCAGCAUUGCCUCUUCUUGGGUCACAUAAGCCUGUUUCGUGUGUAAACAUAUCUCAUUAAUUAGCAGUGAAAUAUAAAAAAAUGAAUUUUUCUUUUUGCCAUUUAUAGGCAUACUUACAGCAGCACCAUAGUCCAAUCUCCUCUUUUUUCCAUUUAGAAACACAUUUCCAGACAUGAUAACGUUUCUAGAGUGUCUUCCUGCAACCAUUCCCAGUCAUUUCUAGUUAUCACUCAUGACAAUAAUGUAACAAAUUCUCUAAACAUUUCCAACCAUCCUAACACUUUAUAUAACGUAACAUAACUUGCACUAGAAACCUCACAAGCCAGACCACAUUCAUUAUGCAAAUGAUACACUUCGAUCAUCACUGAUCUUUAACAGCUUUUAACAUGAUAAUAUUUAUCAACUCCACACCUACCUAAGGUUCAUUCAAGGAGACAACCCAGAAAAUAACCGGAUAAGAAUAACAAGUUUUACAAUUUUAUUAACUUUAUAUACAUCCAUCACAUACAUAUAUCUACGUAACCAGAGAAUAAUCAAUGCUACCAUGGUGAUUACAGGGAUUACUAAACUUCAUAGGAUUCUAUCAAAAGGUAGUAAAACAUUACCUGUUCUGGCCAAUUCACUAGGAUUAUCAUAAAGUUCACUCUCAAGGAAAUUUUCAUCACGGCCAAUUCUAGCAAGAAAGUUUUUCCAAUUCUAGCAAGAAAGUUUUUCCAUUCAUCUGCAGUAUAUUAUGAAAACUAUCCAUUAAUGGAUGACAUUUAAAAAUUAUACACAAGAAUGCAUAAAGAAUAACUCAGUAAUUAAUAAUGGAUUCUAGAUCAGAGCGCUGACCCCAGAAAUGGGGAUAGUGGGAUGAUUGCUAGUUUUUUAAUCACUGUGACACAUACUGAAAGUAACUACAACAACUCGCAGCUGCACUUAACUAGUUUUAGCAAUAGAGAGCCCAUGAGUUGGGACAGCUUAAUUGGGUAGAGUUUCAGAAACUUGUAAACACGCUAGAGAAAAAAGAAUCUCUAUUAAAGUGUGAUGUGAGCCAUACCUACUCAAAACUGAAUUAAGCAACUUAAAUGCUCUAAGAGCCCAUAAUAAUUGCUAAAAUCAGGCAAAUCCAAUCACUGUUAGCUUGCAAGAUCUCAAUAUUGAGACCCUAAAUGAUCUAACCUCUGUAACCUAUAAUCACAGUGGACUUUUUAUGAGUUUUGAUGAUAACAAAUACUAAGUUUGAAAAACUUUUACAAACAUGACUUUAUUAUUUGAAUAUCAAUGCUUUCUUUAUCAAAAACACAAAUGAAUAUGCAUAUCAAGAUUUUGUUUAUCAAGCUUCUAAUCAAGUGCUUGUCAAAGAAAACAAAAAAUUUUAUGCUGAUGACAAAGAUCAAGUAGAGAUAAAAUAUAAAAUAAUGAAAUGUUGCAACAGUCAUAUGACGAGAACAGUAUAAAGGAGUAGAGCUAAAGGAUACAACUACAAUUUCCAGUUCUUUCCAGUGCUACAAUAGUGUUAAAUAUUCUUUGUGGGUGUCCAAAACCAUUGUAAAUUUUUAUAGCAUGAAGCAAACUGAAAAACCUAAACCUGUUCUCUACUUGAGUGAAAUCUGAUGCAAACAGACUAUAUGCACUUAAUCGGUCAGGGAUGAUCACAGCUUAUUUCCCUCUCUCCUUCUUCAUACUUCUUCAAUUCACCGCCGCUUUUGCAUCUUCUUCCCACCUAAUUCUUGAAAUUUAAUUUAGAAGAAGAGAAGAGAUAUGUAAUUGUGGAGAAAGAAGAAGAAAAAAAAAGAGUACCAGAGAUAUGGAGAGAGAUGGGAACCUCGAGGACGCGAAGGAAGCUUUCCAUAGCAUUGUCUUUGAAGAUGAUGGUGUUUACUUCUCUUCCAGAGCAGUCCUCCACAGUCAUUUCUACACAAUAUCCAUCACAAUAAAAAAGUAAAGAUGAAAAUUACCUGUGAUAUACGGGCAACAGUACGAAAGGCACAAUUAAUUCAGAGAAGCUUCAUCCGGUCGAAAAUAAAAGAUUCCACACGGUCUCUUGUUCUGCGGCAUGGUAACAAGUCGUAUAUGAAAUUGCGGGAAGAGAAAAAGAAGUGAAGAACAGGAAGUAAAGAAGAAUAAGAGAGGGGUUUGUUUCACGAGAAAAGAAAGAAGUGAGAGCUGUUUCAAGCUAAGAAUGGGGGAAUUAAAAGAAAACUUAGGGGCGAAGCAAAUGCAUUUAAAAAAGUAAAAAUGGAAUUAAAUGUGUGUACAACAGUCCAAUCAUUUUAAGUGUUUGCAUUUAUUCAUUCCUGCUUUCAGAAUAAUUUUUUUUUUCCUAUCACACAUUCUUAUAUAUACUUAUUUAUAUAUAUAUCCAAGAAAGAAAUGUGUAAUUUUAAUAUUUAAUAUGAAUGAAAAAUA